rnacentral:lncRNA from 1 species
UGUUGUAUUUAAGAAUGAACCUACUCGAGUCUCGGGUGCUAAAGUGGUUGUCUCUUGGAAUCUCAGAAAAAUCAAAUUUGGGUUAAAACACUUGACUUGUGCAGAAUAAAGGGCAAGAUUACUUUCAAAUCAAUAUAUUGAGAUUGAAUGUUUCUUUGAACUGGUGAAUGAGGAGAGACAUAUUUGAAAGCUAUGAAUUCAUUUACUUAUGGAGUAAACUGGCCUACUGACCUGAAUCAUAUUGAUGGAAAGAAAGUGAAGGGACUUGAAGGGAUAUAAGUCAUUAUUGGAAUAAUAUAACCAACUUCUUGGUGAUUUAAUAAAGGAUAAUCGUGGAAUAUUUCCUUGGGUCUGAGAUGGGCACUUUAUUCAUCUUUAGAGAGGUAAUUAAAUGUCUUUGAAUUUAUAUUUAUGUAGUACAUAAAAAAAUGAAAAAUAAAAGCUCUGAAUUACAUUUAGUGAUGACUUAGAUGACGAGACUGAGAUUUUUGGUGGAGUAGUCUAUAUAUUGACGUUCUGUCGAUUUAGAUGAUGCCAUCAAAAUCGCUUGUUUGAUUGACAAACGAGGCAUUUGUCUGAAAUUAAUUUUGAGCUUUUUCAAAUUUUUACUUUUAUUUUAAGUUUUACUUUAGUUCUUUUUCUCAUUACUAAAGAAUUUUUUUUUCUUCUUUUUAUAGGAGAAUUUAUUUUAUACAGAAGACAUCGUUUCCUAUUAAUUUAGAAGACUUGAAGAGAUAAAAGAUAUAAAAUAAUGCUCAAGAUAGAAGUACCUUUCUAUGUAGGAAUAUUUAAGAGGUAUGCCAUUCAUUACUUAUUUUGAUGAGGUUUUUAUUUCGUCUCUUGGACCCAACGUUCCUUAAAUUUCAUGGAAAAGAUUGGUAUCUCUAUGACGAUAGAUAAAUCUUCAGUUUUGUCAUAGUUGGUCAGGAUCAUUUAUGCCAUUGACUUGACCUCUCCAACAUCACAUACAAUUCCUUAAAAUAUCACUGGUUUUCAAGUGAUUAUUUAUAGUUCUUCUUUUUGCUUUUAGGAUAUGGAGAAAGGAAACUUCAAGAUAAUCAGGAUGAUCAUAAGGUAUGUGCUUUCACUUUUUGAUGAGAAUUUAUUUUUAGCAGAAAUACGAACCGUAUUUAUUAUUAAUACUACACAAGUUUUUCAUAAUAUUUAAUUAUCUAUUAUGUAUCUUAUAACUAUAUCAUGAAAAAUGAAUGAGAAUAAAGGAGUUAUGAAGAUCAAAGUAUGGGUUAUGGCUGAUUGUUUGGUUGGUUGAUGGUUGGGGUUUUUUUCUUCCUUCCUUCCUCCCUCCUUUCCUUUCACUCUAUCCUCUUUGAGAUUCGUACGAACUUAGUAAAAAAAAAAAAAAAAUACUGAAGUUUUGCGUUUUAUUUAUUGAUUUAAUUUGGAAUCCGAUUGUGGCUGUUAUUUUGUAUUCAAAAUAUAUCGUCGUGUUGAACGAUGCAGAUCCAGCUCCAGUUACGAUCUUUAAUAUCGUAGGCUUGGCGUUUUCAUUCUGCUAAAUUAAUGAUUGCAGUGCUCAGCUAUGUCCCGUUGUUUCCUUAUAUAUCAUGGGAUCGGGAUACGCAGUCUGCGAACAGCGCUUCCUUCUCGUUUUUUUUCUUCUUCUUCUUCUUCAAUAAGAUGGAACUUGCUUUAUUUGUUGUAUGUGGUGGGAAUAUAUAUAUAUAUAUGUACAUACACCCCGUGAAUUGAAAAUAUGAGCUACGUGCGGAUUUGAAAAGAGUCUGAUGUUAGGAAGUUAAUUAAGGCUACAAAGAUGAAAGAGAAAAGAAUUCGGAAGGCAUUUAGAGAGGUCUGUCUCAAGGAAAAAAUAAAGUUACAAGCAAGGAGCUAGAAUUGAAGUCAAAUGGUGGAAGAGGAAUCUGAGAAGGGAAUAAAUAAAAGAGGCCGGUCUUACAUAUCACUAGGAACUUAAAUAAGAUAGGAUGAAGCUUGCUCCUCGAGAUGCAUAACGGGCAAGGAUUACAUACAAAAAUGGCUCGAAAAAUAAAGUGAAGAAGCAUGCAAGGAUUUUUCUUAUAUAUUCCUCUUCUACUCAGGAUAUCAUCUACAAACAUAUUAUUCUCUCUAUGU